rnacentral:misc_RNA from 1 species
AGAAAGCAGGAACUGAA